rnacentral:rRNA from 1 species
AUUCCUUCAGUAACGGCGAGUGAACAGGGAGUAGCUCAGCAUGGAAAUUGGGGCUGGUAGCCUUGAGUUGUAGUCUGGAGAUGCGUUGCCAAUGGGGGUGCAGAUGUAAGCCUCUUGGAAAAGAGCACUAAUGAGGGUGACAGUCCUGUUUGCCAUCUGUCGUCUUCCAUGCACGGCGUGCUUUCUACGAGUCACGUUCCUUGGGCUUGGAGCGCCAAUGUGGUGGUAAUUUUCACCCCAAGCUAAAUACAUGUUCAGGACCGACAGCAAACAAGUACCAUGAGGGAAAGGUGAAAAGGACUUUGAGAAGAGUGUUAAAAGUGCAUGAAUUUGCUGAAUGUAAGUGAAUGGAACCGUUUGUCUGGGUAAGAUUGCCACACUUGUCUGUGACGUGGUGCCUGAUUUCGCAAGUAUUGCAGUGCUGCGUUGUUUGUGUAUGUGUGGUGUUUCUUGCCUUGCUAGUCACUGUCAGUGUGCAACUGUGCAUGAAAUCAAGGAUUUGCGUGUUCACUUGUGGUGGCCAUGCAUGUCUUGAGUGUGCACACUUGUACAUUGCUUGGUGUGUGCCGGGGUGGAGUGUUGCAGGCUGCUCUUUGUUGCUGAGAAACUGUUCUCUUCAUGAGGUGUGCGCUUGGGACAUAUUCUUGUUUGCGCCAACGUUGACUAAAUGGCUCUAUUCGACCCGUCUUGAAACACGGACCAAGGAGUCUAACGCAUGUGUAAGUUUGCGGGUGGCCAACUUGUGUGCGACAUGAAAGUGUUUGUUGGGAUUCUGUGCACUAACAAUGGACCAAUCGUGUGGGAGAGGUUUGAGUUGGAGCACAUGCGUUAGGACCCGAAAGAUGGUGAACUAUGCCUGAGGAGGGCAAAUCA